rnacentral:rRNA from 1 species
AUUGAACGCUAGCGGCAGGCCUAACACAUGCAAGUCGAGCGAGUGGAGGACGGGUUGGUAAUGUAUGGGGACUGCCCGAUAGAGGGGGAUAACUACUGGAAACGGUGGAUAAUACCGCAUACUAACGGAUAACCCAUAUGGGAUUAGCUAUUAGGUUGGGUAAUGGCUCACCUAGGCGACGAUCUCUAGCUGGUCAGAGAUGAUGAUCAGCAACACAGGGACUGUGACACGGCACAGACUCACACGGAGGGAGCAGUGGGGAAUAUUGCACAAUGGGCGAAAGCCUGAUGCAGCCAUGCCGCGGUUAUGAAGAAGGCCUUAGGGUUGUAAAGUACUUCCAGCAGUGAGGCGUUACCCGCAGAAGAAGCACCGGCUAACUCCGUGCCAGCGGCCGCGGAAAUUC